AUGGAUCAUCGAAUUUAUCUAUUUACCUGCCAUUUAUACCUUAUCUAUCUAUCUAUCUAUCUAUUUAUCUAUCAUCUAUCUGGGCUUGUGGCUGGGGCGAUUUUGUCCCUACGACCCCAUGACAUACGACAACGCCUGGAGGGGGGUGUAUUUCCGGUUGUCCCAACUUGGGGGAGAGGGAGAUUUUGGCACCUGGUGGGUGGAGAGUGGAGAGGCCGCUCCACACCCCACAAGGCCUGGCAGGACCACCCAGCCUGGACAUCACUCGUGUCACGGCAGAGCUGUGCCCCGACCCCGUGUCCCUGGCCCUCCAUCCUGCCCCAACACCUGCUUUGUCCCUCUCUUCUGGCACCUCCUCGCUCGGUCGGGGGUCCUGGGGUCCUGCUGUCCCGCAUAAACAAUGGCCAGCCGCCCACCACGGCUGUUAAAGUCCAGGGUUCCCUAUUCUCAGCCCCCUGUCAUUCACGGGCCUCCCUCGGGUGUCAGGCCAGCACCACCUGCUGUGAACACAGCCCCGCGGCUCCGCCCGGCCUGGCCCACAGCACCCUCCUGCCCCGCCUUCACCCUGCAGCUUUCCUCCGGGACCGCCCCAAGGCUCCCUCCACCCAGCGCACACACCCCAUCCUCACCCCGGACUCUUCCCUGGGCCUGGUCCCUCCUCCUGGAGGGGCGGGGCCGCCAGGGUUCGGGGGACCGCGUCCAGGGGUCGCACCCCAUCCCUCCAUCCACACCGACCUUGGCAAGGCCCGAACAAACGAGAUAAAGUCACCAUCUCGGCAGCGGCAGCGCGGCAGCGUCUCAAAAGCACCCUUGGAGCUCACGUCCGGCCCCAGGCGCCGGACCCCUCGCUCGGCUUCUCACCCCGAGGCGACGGCGGCGAGGCCCCGCCCGGGCUCCGUGCGUCCCCUCCCCUCGCCCCGCCUGCUCCGGGGGGUGCCGGCCGCCUCUGACCACAAGGGCUGCGCAAACGCGACCACACGACCGAGGAGAGAAAAACCCCUCCUCAGUUUGGAAGCAGAACCACGCGCUCCGUCAUUCCUCUUAGUCAGGCGUGACCCCGAGGCGCAGACGGCCCGGGUGGCGCUGGGCAGCCGCCAGGCGGCACGUGGGGCGGCCCUGCUCCGCAGACUGUCUGCCUCAGCUUCCAAAACGCCCCGAGAAGCUGGGCGUGUGAGCGAGCCGGAGGCGUCCGCUGCUCGGAGCGUCCCCCCGGACUCAGGCCCCGGGCGCCGCCGCCUUCGGGGCUCACCUGGGUGCAGGUGUGUUCCCGGAGGCUUUUGCACGAGAGGGAGCGGGCCAGCGCCUCCGCGCCCAGUGCCCGUGGCUGCGCGUGCCUUUCUGGACGAUUUUCUAGCCCGUCUGCACCCGGGAGAGGAGAGGGCACGCAGCCUCGCUCCCAGCUCGCGUGAGACCCUCCCCGCGACCCUCCCUCGUUGCAGACGAGGCACGUCCAUAAGGAAACGGCCAUGA
rnacentral:lncRNA from 1 species